GAAAAGUUGGUUACCCAAAAAGAAUUCUAAUGAAGAUGUAAGAGAAGGAAUGAAGUAUGAGGUUCACUCUGGGAUAGAAAGAAAAAAAAAGCUACAAAGGGGUCAGUCUACUGGAGCAAGUGCUGCUUCUACUUCACUGGUGAUUUCCAUUUGUUCAGCGGCUAUACCUGUGAAUGUCUGGAAAAGGCCAACUUGGGAAAGAGUUAGACCCUGAUUUUGACCUAUCCUCACCCUGAGCCAUCAAACAACCCUUCUGUGUUGGCCACUCCUGAGAAUUAGCUGACUAAAAGGAAAGACAUUCCUUGAUCAACUGUCUCAUUGCAAUCACGCCCACUCCCUCACACCUAGUUAUUUCCAAGCUUUUUUCUAACCUUUAUAAAAUAAAAUUCUAUUCUCCCUGACCUUUUAGAUUCUUGCAGAUCUCAUGGCCUGAACCUUCUCCCUAUUACAAUACUCUCCCUUCACUUAUCAUAAUAAUCCCUUUUGAAUAAAGCCUAGCUUUACCUAAGUUGAUUUUUUUACUUGACAAUAUAAAAGAUGAAUAAAAAUACAGAUACAUUAUAGAUUUG
rnacentral:lncRNA from 1 species